rnacentral:rRNA from 1 species
ACGGUCCAGACUCCUACGGGAGGCAGCAGUGGGGAAUUUUGGACAAUGGGGGCAACCCUGAUCCAGCAAUGCCGCGUGAGUGAAGAAGGCCUUCGGGUUGUAAAGCUCUUUUGUCAGGGAAGAAACGGGUUCGGAUAAUACCUGGGCCUAAUGACGGUACCUGAAGAAUAAGCACCGGCUAACUACGUGCCAGCAGCCGCGGUAAUACGUAGGGUGCAAGCGUUAAUCGGAAUUACUGGGCGUAAAGCGUGCGCAGGCGGUUUUAUAAGUUUGUCGUGAAAGCCCCGGGCUCAACCUGGGAAUGGCGAUGAAGACUGUAAGGCUAGAGUGUGUCAGAGGGGGGUAGAAUUCCACGUGUAGCAGUGAAAUGCGUAGAUAUGUGGAGGAACACCGAUGGCGAAGGCAGCCCCCUGGGAUAACACUGACGCUCAUGCACGAAAGCGUGGGGAGCAAACAGGAUUAGAUACCCUGGUAGUCCACGCCCUAAACGAUGUCUACUAGUUGUCGGGUCUUAAUUGACUUGGUAACGCAGCUAACGCGUGAAGUAGACCGCCUGGGGAGUACGGUCGCAAGAUUAAAACUCAAAGGAAUUGACGGAA